CUCGACUCUCCCACCCUUUGUGAACGUACCUCUGUUGCUUUGGCGGCUCCGGCCGCCAAAGGACCUUCAAACUCCAGUCAGUAAACGCAGACGUCUGAUAAACAAGUUAAUAAACUAAAACUUUCAACAACGGAUCUCUUGGUUCUGGCAUCGAUGAAGAACGCAGCGAAAUGCGAUAAGUAAUGUGAAUUGCAGAAUUCAGUGAAUCAUCGAAUCUUUGAACGCACAUUGCGCCCCUUGGUAUUCCGGGGGGCAUGCCUGUUCGAGCGUCAUUACAACCCUCAAGCUCUGCUUGGAAUUGGGCACCGUCCUCACUGCGGACGCGCCUCAAAGACCUCGGCGGUGGCUGUUCAGCCCUCAAGCGUAGUAGAAUACACCUCGCUUUGGAGCGGUUGGCGUCGCCCGCCGGACGAACCUUCUGAACUUUUCUCAAGGUUGACCUCGGAUCAGGUAGGGAUACCCGCUGAACUUAAGCAUAUCAAUAAGCGG
rnacentral:rRNA from 1 species